UGAUUGUAGUCGUCGCUGUCUCCACUGC
rnacentral:sRNA from 1 species